rnacentral:sRNA from 1 species
ACUGGGCGUGGUGGGGCAUGCCUGUAAUCCCAGUGGCUCAGGAGGCUGAGGCAGGAGAAUGGAGAGUUCAAAGCCAGCCUCAG